rnacentral:rRNA from 1 species
AUUGAACGCUGGCGGCAGGCCUAACACAUGCAAGUCGAGCGGAUGAGUGGAGCUUGCUCCAUGAUUCAGCGGCGGACGGGUGAGUAAUGCCUAGGAAUCUGCCUGGUAGUGGGGGACAACGUUUCGAAAGGAACGCUAAUACCGCAUACGUCCUACGGGAGAAAGCAGGGGACCUUCGGGCCUUGCGCUAUCAGAUGAGCCUAGGUCGGAUUAGCUAGUAGGUGAGGUAAAGGCUCACCUAGGCGACGAUCCGUAACUGGUCUGAGAGGAUGAUCAGUCACACUGGAACUGAGACACGGUCCAGACUCCUACGGGAGGCAGCAGUGGGGAAUAUUGGACAAUGGGCGGAAGCCUGAUCCAGCCAUGCCGCGUGUGUGAAGAAGGUCUUCGGAUUGCAAAGCACUUUAAGUUGGGAGGAAGGGCAGUAAGUUAGUACCUUGCUGUUUUGACGUUACCGACAGAAUAAGCACCGGCUAACUUCGUGCCAGCCGCCGCAGUAAGAC